rnacentral:rRNA from 1 species
UACGAAGGGGGCUAGCGUUGCUCGGAAUUACUGGGCGUAAAGGGCGCGUAGGCGGAUGAUUAAGUUGGGGGUGAAAGCCCGGGGCUCAACCUCGGAACUGCCUUCAAUACUGGUCAUCUUGAGUUCGGGAGAGGUGUGUGGAACUCCGAGUGUAGAGGUGAAAUUCGUAGAUAUUCGGAAGAACACCAGUGGCGAAGGCGACACACUGGCCCGAUACUGACGCUGAUGCGCGAAAGCGUGGGGAGCAAACAGG